rnacentral:rRNA from 1 species
CUUCGGUCUGGCGGCGAGUGGCGAACGGGUGAGUAAUGUAUCGGAACGUGCCCAGUAGCGGGGGACAACCACUCGAAAGAGUGGCUAAUACCGCAUACGCCCUACGGGGGAAAGGGGGGGAUCGCAAGACCUCUCACUAUUGGAGCGGCCGAUAUCGGAUUAGCUAGUUGGUGGGGUAAAGGCCUACCAAGGCGACGAUCCGUAGCUGGUUUGAGAGGACGACCAGCCACACUGGGACUGAGACACGGCCCAGACUCCUACGGGAGGCAGCAGUGGGGAAUUUUGGACAAUGGGGGAAACCCUGAUCCAGCCAUUCCGCGUGUGCGAUGAAGGCCUUCGGGUUGUAAAGCACUUUUGGCAGGAAAGAAAUCGUGUGGGUUAAUACCCUGCGCGGAUGACGGUACCUGCAGAAUAAGCACCGGCUAACUACUGCCAGCAGCCGCGGUAAUACGUAGGGUGCAAGCGUUAAUCGGAAUUACUGGGCGUAAAGCGUGCGCAGGCGGUUCGGAAAGAAGGAUGUGAAAUCCCAGGGCUUAACCUUGGAACUGCAUUCUUAACUACCGGGCUAGAGUGUGUCAGAGGGAGGUGGAAUUCCGCGUGUAGCAGUGAAAUGCGUAGAUAUGCGGAGGAACACCGAUGGGAAGGCAGCCUCCUGGGACAACACUGACGCUCAUGCUACGAAAGCGUGGGGAGCAACCAGGAUUAGAUACCCUGGUAGUCC